rnacentral:lncRNA from 1 species
AAAAGAUAUCCAGGCUCUAAUGGAAGAAACUGCAGUCCUGUCUUUAGAAAACAAAUCGGAGCUUCUGCUGGCUGACUACUUUGAAGAAGAUCCAAAGAACCCAAUGGACAAAGAGCGACGGAAGUCUUUAAUAAAACCCAAACUGUGGAGACUGCAGAAAGACAUUGAAAAGGCCUCAAGAGACAAAGAAGGACAGACCACAAGACAGCCACACACCUGUGGUCCAGCGCUGUCCAGCAUCUGAGUGUGGACCGCGGGAUUUCAUGUUGAUGGAACUCGGAUGGGAGAGGCCUGGAACAGAAGCUUAAAGCACUUGCCAGCAGUGCCUCCUUUUCUGAUGCUAAGAGCCAGAAAGAUGCAGAGACGCUAAUGGACGAG